GACGAACGCUGGCGGCGCGCCUAACACAUGCAAGUCGAACGGUGAAGCGGAGCUUGCUCCUCGGGACAGUGGCGGACGGGUGAGUAAAACGUGAGCAAAAUGGCCCUUAGAGGGGGACAACAGUUGGAAACGACUGCUAAUACCGCAUGACGUAUCGGGAUGUCAUCUUCCUGAUACCAAAGAUUUUAUCGCUUAGAGAUGGGCUCGCGUCUGAUUAGAUUGUUGGCGGGGUAACGGCCCACCAAGUCGACGAUCAGUAGCCGGACUGAGAGGUUGAACGGCCACAUUGGGACUGAGGCACAGCCCAGACUGCUACGGGGGGGAGCAGAAGGUGAUAUUGGACGAGGAGGGCAACCCUGGUACAGCGACGCGGCGGGAGAGAAGAAUGUUUUCGGAUUGUGAACCUCUGUUGACGGAGAAAAAAAUGAUGGUAACCGUUUAGAAAGCCACGGCUAACUACGUG
rnacentral:rRNA from 1 species